AUUGAACGCUGGCGGCAUGCCUUACACAUGCAAGUCGAACGGUAACAGGUCUUCGGAUGCUGACGAGUGGCGAACGGGUGCGUAAUACAUCGGAACGUGCCCGAUCGUGGGGGAUAACGCAGCGAAAGCUGUGCUAAUACCGCAUACGAUCUACGGAUGAAAGCGGGGGAUCGCAAGACCUCGCGCGGACGGAGCGGCCGAUGGCAGAUUAGGUAGUUGGUGGGAUAAAAGCUUACCAAGCCGACGAUCUGUAGCUGGUCUGAGAGGACGACCAGCCACACUGGGACUGAGACACGGCCCAGACUCCUACGGGAGGCAGCAGUGGGGAAUUUUGGACAAUGGGCGCAAGCCUGAUCCAGCCAUGCCGCGUGCAGGAUGAAGGCCUUCGGGUUGUAAACUGCUUUUGUACGGAACGAAAAAGCUCUCUCUAAUACAGGGGGUGAAUGACGGUACCGUAAGAAUAAGCACCGGCUAACUACGUG
rnacentral:rRNA from 1 species